rnacentral:rRNA from 1 species
GAUCCUGGCUCAGAAUCAACGCUGGCGGCGUGCCUAACACAUGCAAGUCGAACGCGAAGACCCCGCAAGGGGUUGUUAGCGUGGCAAACGGGUGAGUAACACGUGGGCGACCUACCUCAGAGUGGGGGAUAACCUUCCGAAAGGAAGGCUAAUACCGCAUGACAUCCCAUGUUUGGAUACAUGGACAUCAAAGCCGGGGAUCGCAAGACCUGGCGCUUGGAGAGGGGCCCGCGUCCGAUUAGCUAGUUGGUGAGGUAACGGCUCACCAAGGCUCCGAUCGGUAUCCGGCCUGAGAGGGCGGACGGACACACUGGGACUGAGACACGGCCCAGACUCCUACGGGAGGCAGCAG